AGCGAACGCUGGCGGCAGGCCUAACACAUGCAAGUCGAACGAACCUUUCGGGGUUAGUGGCGGACGGGUGAGUAACACGUGGGAACGUGCCUUUAGGUUCGGAAUAACUCAGGGAAACUUGUGCUAAUACCGAAUGUGCCCUUCGGGGGAAAGAUUAAUCGCCUUUAGAGCGGCCCGCGUCGGAUUAGCUAGUUGGUUGAGGUAAUGGCUCACCAAGGCGACGAUCAGUAGCUGGUCUGAGAGGAUGAUCAGCCACAUUGGGACUGAGACACGGCCCAAACUCCUACGGGAAGCAGCAGUGGGGAAUCUUGCGCAAUGGGCGAAAGCCUGACGCAGCCAUGCCGCGUGAAUGAUGAAGGUCUUAGGAUUGUAAAAUUCUUUCACCGGGGACGAUAAUGACGGUACCCGGAGAAGAAGCCCCGGCUAACUUCGUG
rnacentral:rRNA from 1 species